GACGAACGCUGGCGGCGUGCUUAACACAUGCAAGUCGAACGGAAAGGCCCUGCUUUUGUGGGGUGCUCGAGUGGCGAACGGGUGAGUAACACGUGAGUAACCUGCCCUUGACUUUGGGAUAACUUCAGGAAACUGGGGCUAAUACCGGAUAGGAGCUCCUGCUGCAUGGUGGUGGAUGGAAAGUUUCGGCGGUUGGGGAUGGACUCGCGGCUUAUCAGCUUGUUGGUGGGGUAGUGGCUUACCAAGGCUUUGACGGGUAGCCGGCCUGAGAGGGUGACCGGCCACAAUAGGACUGAGAUACGGCCCAGACUCCUACGGGAGGCAGCAGUGGGGAAUAUUGCACAAUAGGCGGAAGCCUGAUGCAGCAACGCCGCGUGCGGGAUGACGGCCUACGGGGUGUAAACCGCUUUCGCCUGUGACGAAGCGGGAGUGACGGUAAUGGGUAAAGAAGCACCGGCUAACUACGUG
rnacentral:rRNA from 1 species